ACUCACUGCUAAAUACCCUAAAGGCACCAAAUCCUGUCUGAUCUUGGAUGCUAAGCAGGGACAACCCUGGCUAGUAUUUUGGUGGGAGACUACCCCAAUGGUUACCAGAUCCUGUAGACU
rnacentral:rRNA from 11 species